rnacentral:lncRNA from 1 species
ACUGAGCCAAAUGUUUAGUCUUCAGCUGAACUACUGCCAGUGAGCUGCGCUGCAUUCUGGGACCACAGAGCCUCGAGGUACCGUGUUAAACUAUCUCACAUAAGGAUGUGCAGUGAGCUGGACUUCAUAUUCAAUCACCCAAAAGAAAAGUGAAGGAGAAAGCCUACUUUUGCCUGAGCUGGCGUGUUGUGUUGGAUUUGUGAAGUGAGGCAUCUGAAGCAGGCCUUGAAAAACAACCUGAGAACAUGGCUUUGGCAUCGGGGUGAAGUCUGAGCAGACCUCUUACAUUUUUGUUGGCUGCUAACGUACUAAGCGUUUUUUGGCAGCAUGCGGUUCUGGAUUGAAGCCAUGCAUGCAAGUCUUCCACAUUGUGCUCUUUUCCCAGCAUGUUCUCCAGGACAUUGGAAGAAGAGAAAAGCUGAAUCAGUUUGGAAAAACAUAAAUAUUUCUGAAAGUGUGGACACUUCUCACUUUUCAAGUGUGGGAGGAAUAUUUCGCUGCCCCCUUACCCAUCACUCAAAUGUCCCAAUCAGGUUAUUUAAAUAAAUUAUCCUUAAGAAUAAUUAUCUGAGAAUAAUUCUUUUCCUGUCUCAAAAAGCACAUCUAGUACCAUAUAAGCUUUUUUACCUAUGUUGUUUACAAGCAGGCUGAUUUCAAUAAAUAAACUGAAUGAUGCCUAAAUCCUCA